CGUAGGAAAUUUGAGAGGAGCUGUCCUUAGUACGAGAGGACCGGGAUGGACAUACCUCUGGUGUACCAGUUGUCGUGCCAACGGCAUAGCUGGGUAGCUAUGUAUGGACGGGAUAAGUGCUGAAAGCAUCUAAGCAUGAAGCCCCCCUCAAGAUGAGAUUUCCCAACUUCGGUUAUAAGAUCCCUCAAAGAUGAUGAGGUUAAUAGGUUCGAGGUGGAAGCGUGGUGACACGUGGAGCUGACGAAUACUAAUCGAUCGAAGACUUAAUCAAUUU
rnacentral:rRNA from 1 species